CCGGAAUUAUUGGGCGUAAAGGGCUCGCAGGCGGUUUCUUAAGUCUGAUGUGAAAGCCCCCGCCUCAACCGGGGAGGGUCAUUGGAAACUGGGAAACUUGAGUGCAGAAGAGGAGAGUGGAAUUCCACGUGUAGCGGUGAAAUGCGUAGAGAUGUGGAGGAACACCAGUGGCGAAGGCGACUCUUUGGUCUGUAACUGACGCUGAGGAGCGAAAGCGUGGGGAGCGAACAGGAUUAGAUACCCUGGUAGUCCACGCCGUAAACGAUGAGUGCUAAGUGUUAGGGGGUUUCCGCCCCUUAGUGCUGCAGCUAACGCAUUAAGCACUCCGCCUGGGGAGUACGGUCGCAAGACUGAAACUCAAAGGAAUUACGGGGGCCCGCACAAGCGGUGGAGCAUGUGGUUUAAUUCGAAGCAACGCGAAGAACCUUACCAGGUCUUGACAUCCUCUGACAACCCUAGAGAUAGGGCUUUCCCUUCGGGGACAGAGUGACAGGUGGUGCAUGGUUGUCGUCAGCUCGUGUCGUGAGAUGUUGGGUUAAGUCCCGCAACGAGCGCAACCCUUGAUCUUAGUUGCCAGCAUUCAGUUGGGCACUCUAAGGUGACUGCCGGUGACAAACCGGAGGAAGGUGGGGAUGACGUCAAAUCAUCAUGCCCCUUAUGACCUGGGGUACACACGUGSUACAAUGGACAGAACAAAGGGCUGCGAGACCGCAAGGUUUAGCCAAUCCCACAAAUCUGUUCUCAGUUCGGAUCGCAGUCUGCAACUCGACUGCGUGAAGUGGAAUCGCUAGUAAUCGCGGAUCAGCAUGCCGCGGUGAAUAYGUUCCCGGGCCUUGUACACACCGCCCGUCACACCACGAGAGUUUGCAACACCCGAAGUCGGUGAGGUAACCUUUAUGGAGCCAGCCGCCGAAGGUGGGGCGAUGAUUGGGGUGAAGUCGUAACAAGGUAGCCGUUAA
rnacentral:rRNA from 1 species